GGACCCUAACGGCAUCGCUGAACAGAGCCUGGCUUUGGUUUAGCUUGUAAGAAGAUGUUUUUUUUUUUAGCUAUUAAUUGCUAGACCGCUAAAUGUUUCCGGUGAAUAACGUGGACGAGGAUCCAUUGUUGGUCACAUUAACUUGCUACUAUCGCACGCGCCGUGUGUAACCAAGGAAACCAUUCUGCUGAUGGCAAAUAAACAAAUGAAUUAAUAAAAUUAAGCAAUUUAGUGAUGACAACCAAGCUGGGGACUGCAGGCCCAGACGCACUCGGCUCUUGCAAGAGAGGUGCUAAAUUUUCUCUGUCCACCUCUCCAAUCACAGGCUCAUGCCAUAGCUGUGAGUCAUGGCCUAGAGGAGCUGGAGGGGGCUCAGAUCUCCCACAGCCUGGCCCUCAUCCUUUCUGUUGCAGCAGAACCCCAUCACAAUGUGCCUGAAAUCCAGAGAUCCUUGUAUGGGCGUCAGCACAAGAAGACCAAAGCAGUAAAAAAAAAAGCUGUGGACAUGCUGGCUAGGGCACCAGAGGUGGCUGAGAAGAAAGGUAAAAGGAAAACGACCUCUAAUCUUUCCACUUGUACCAUCCAGUGGUAAUAAUUAAAACUUCAU